UGGGAUAGCCAUUGAAUUUUAGGCACGCCCGAUCUCGUCUGAUCUCGGAAGCUAAGCAGGGUCGGGCCUGGUUAGUACUUGGAUGGGUGACCGCCUGGGAAUACCAGGUGCUGUAAGCA
ensembl:rRNA 5S_rRNA 5S ribosomal RNA